rnacentral:rRNA from 1 species
GACGAACGCUGGCGGCGUGCUUAACACAUGCAAGUCGAACGGAAAGGCCCUGCUUUUGUGGGGUGCUCGAGUGGCGAACGGGUGAGUAACACGUGAGUAACCUGCCCUUGACUUUGGGAUAACUUCAGGAAACUGGGGCUAAUACCGGAUAGGAGCUCCUGCUGCAUGGUGGGGGUUGGAAAGUUUCGGCGGUUGGGGAUGGACUCGCGGCUUAUCAGCUUGUUGGUGGGGUAGUGGCGUACCAAGGCUUUGACGGGUAGCCGGCCUGAGAGGGUGACCGGCCACAUUGGGACUGCGAUACGGCCCAGACUCGUACGGGAGGCAGCAGUGGGGAAUAUUGCACAAUGGGCGGAAGCCUGAUGCAGCAACGCCGCGUGCGGGAUGACGGCCUUCGGGUUGUAAACCGCUUUCGCCUGUGACGAAGCGUGAGUGACGGUAAUGGGUAAAGAAGCACCGGCUAACUACGUG